AGCCAGACUCCUACGGGAGGCAGCAGUGAGGGAUAUUGGGCAAUGGGGGAAACCCUGACCCAGCGACGCCGCGUGAGGGAAGACGGUCUUCGGAUUGUAAACCUCUGUCUUUCGGGACGAAGAAAGUGACGAUACCGAAUGAAUAAGCCACGGCUAACUACGUGCCAGCAGCCGCGGUAAUACGUAGGUGGCAAGCGUUAUCCGGAUUUACUGGGUGUAAAGGGCGUGUAGGCGGGAGAGCAAGUCAGACGUGAAAUUCCAGGGCUCAACCCUGGAACUGCGUUUGAAACUGUUCUUCUUGAGUGAUGGAGAGGCAGGCGGAAUUCCGUGUGUAGCGGUGAAAUGCGUAGAUAUACGGAGGAACACCAGUGGCGAAGGCGGCCUGCUGGACAUUAACUGACGCUGAGGCGCGAAAGCGUGGGGAGCAAACAGGAUUAGAUACCCGCGUA
rnacentral:rRNA from 1 species